GACGAACCGUGCGAACGUUGUUCGGAUUCACUGGGCUUAAAGGGCGCGUAGGCGGCCGACCAAGCCCGGGGUGAAAGCCCCCAGCUCAACUGGGGAAGGGCCUCGGGGACUGGCCGGCUGGAGGGGGGUAGGGGCAGAUGGAACUUCUGGUGGAGCGGUGAAAUGCGUUGAUAUCAGAAGGAACGCCGGUGGCGAAAGCGAUCUGCUGGACCCUCACUGACGCUGAGGCGCGAAAGUCAGGGGAGCAAACGGG
rnacentral:rRNA from 1 species